rnacentral:rRNA from 1 species
GGCUCAGGAUGAACGCUAGCGGCAGGCUUAACACAUGCAAGUCGAGGGGUAGAAGGAGCUUGCUCCUUUGAGACCGGCGCACGGGUGCGUAACGCGUAUGCAAUCUACCUUUGCAGAGGGAUAGCCCAGAGAAAUUUGGAUUAAUACCUCAUAGUAUAGUACUUUGGCAUCAAGGAACUAUUAAAGUCACAACGGCAAAAGAUGAGCAUGCGUCCCAUUAGCUAGUUGGUAAGGUAACGGCUUACCAAGGCUACGAUGGGUAGGGGUCCUGAGAGGGAGAUCCCCCACACUGGUACUGAGACACGGACCAGACUCCUACGGGAGGCAGCAGUGAGGAAUAUUGGACAAUGGGCGCAAGCCUGAUCCAGCCAUGCCGCGUGCAGGAUGACGGUCCUAUGGAUUGUAAACUGCUUUUAUACAGGAAGAAACACUCCGACGUGUCGGAGCUUGACGGUACUGUAAGAAUAAGGAUCGGCUAACUCCGUG